rnacentral:rRNA from 1 species
GUCGUACAGGUUUCCGUAGGUGACCUGCGGAAGGAUCAUUAUUGAAAUAAACUUGAUAAGUUGCUGCUGGUUCUCUAGGGAACAAUGUGCACACUUGUCAUCUUUGUAUCUUCACCUGUGCACCUUUUGUAGACCUGAUUAUCUCUCUGAAUGCUUUAUAGCACUCAGGAUUGAGGAUUGACUUCUUGUCUCUUCUUACAUUUUCAGGUCUAUGUUUCUUCAUAUACCCCAAUGUAUGUUUAUAGAAUGUAAUUAAUGGGCCUUUGUGCCUAUAAACCUUUACAACUUUCAGCAACGGAUCUCUUGGCUCUCGCAUCGAUGAAGAACGCAGCGAAAUGCGAUAAGUAAUGUGAAUUGCAGAAUUCAGUGAAUCAUCGAAUCUUUGAACGCACCUUGCGCUCCUUGGUAUUCCGAGGAGCAUGCCUGUUUGAGUGUCAUUAAUAUUAUCAACCUUUUGGGUUGGAUUUGGGUUUGCUGGCCUCUAUCAGGUCAGCUCCCCUUAAAUGCAUUAGCAGACAACAUUUUGCCAAAUGUUCAUUGGUGUGAUAAUUAUCUACGCUAUUGACAUGAAGCAAAGGUUCAGCUUCUAACUGUCCAUUGACUUGGACAACUUUAUUAAUGUGACCUCAAAUCAGGUAGGACUACCCGCUGAACUUAACAUAUCAAUAA